AGACAUGCGCUUCAUUGCUCCAGGAAGAUGCAGCUGACAGACUCUAAACUGGUACUGCAAAGGUCAGAAGGAGAUUAUGGAUGCCUGUCUGCUCUGAGUAAGAGGGAGACAUUAUGUAUAACCAGCUAAUGGAAUCACUGGUCGAUGUUUGCAGGUGUGACUGCAAUGGAGAAGGUAUAGAUGCCGCUGAACAGUUCGGGGCACCGAAAGGGAACACCCCGCUCAUGGCUUCUGAAGAAAUCGAUGCUUGCCAUGUCGUUAACUGAAGAAAUCAACACUUGUCAUGCUGUUAACUGAAGAAAUCGACACCCAGCAGUCGAUUGGCGCCAAACGGGACGGGCUCAACAUCGACCGUCAGAUCUUCAUCUAACAGCAACUUACAGCUUCGCCCGGAGUUACAACAGACCUGAACACUGGAGUGGCCAAACUAUGAGAAUAGUACUGUCUGUUGUAUGCAACUUGCUCUGUUCCAGUAUUGGGCUAUCAGACUAUCACUGGGAAAGGUAUGUUCUCCCUUUGCUGGAAGGUAGUUGCGUAAUGGUUCGGUUUUAUUUCCAUGAGAAUAUAGGAAUAUGAAUUGAUACAUGGUUCCAAAGUUUCAGACUCAACUGAGAUUCUUUCUUUGGUUGCUUGAAAGAUAACAAUAACUGUGUUAAGUUUGUCAUCUUCUCUCGUCAGUCUAGUAAACACUGUCGGUAUACUUUUUAUGCUCCCCAACCAGACUGCCAUAAUCAAUGCUAUUGUAAGACUUCAGAAGGCCUCCAUUUUCUGAGCACUGCUUUGUUAUGUCUUCUGGAUCCUGUAAUUACUCCUUUUAUAUCCCCAUCACCAUCCAAUACAGAGUAACGCAAUUCGUUCUGAUCAGUCAACAGUGAAUUACGAUAUCGAUUAUGCUGGGGAUUUACUCUGAUUGAUCUUUAACCUAAUUCAGACAGACGUGCAUGUACCGUUGAUAGCUAAUUUCAGUUACGAUGUUGCUUCAUUUUGUAGACCAAUCUCCUCGGAAGCAACAGAUUCAGUUGGGGGAAGGUGUGGUUGACUGAGGCAGUCUUCUGCCGCUGCAACAUCCACGCAAUAAUGGUGCCGUUCGGUGGAUGCAGUUUUAGCUUUCAACUGUUCCUUGUGACAUCCUUGAUAAUUUGCCCCUCAUUCUAUUCUUUCUCUGAUGCAGUGUACCAAAUCCACCUUAAGCACACGCUGGUCGCCCAGGUCGCGCAGAUGGAAUGGCUGGUCGAAUUUUGCAGGCGUGAUAGAACCGACCGAAAAGUUCAGGGCACCAAAAGCAACGUGGUACUCACUGUUCCCGCCAAGAACGGCACGCAAGGACUGCUUUGCAUGUGCUCGGCGACCUCAGCAACAGGUGUACUAAAAACACCAGAGAGCGUUCAUUCAUGCGAGGUAAAUAGUCCCCAGUGAACUUCAAAUCUGCAAGAUAGCUACAUGUUCUUGUCAGGUUAACCGACUUGAAAACAUUUCAGAAUCAUCUGCCAUGGAAUAUCUGAAGCCAUGCUAAGGAAGAUGAAGCAGAAACACUGCCUAGGCUAGAAGAAGCGUAGCCUGCAGGCUGCAGCUACGUAUAUCUGAAGCUCGUCAGCCCUGUGAUGUCACUCAGAAAUUGUCUGCGAUGAGUACAUUCAGUUCAUACCGUGUGCGCGAUGGUUAGUAUUUCGGUCAUUCCGUUUUAGUGUAGCACAAAAUAUUCUGAGCCUGACCGGCAGAAGCAUGGCAAUUACUUACGCAUGACAUCUUGUCAGGAACAACCAGACUGCAUCAACUUCUGAAGACACUUGUCAUGCUGUUAACACCCAGCAGCCGGUUGGCGCCAAACCGGGCGGGC
rnacentral:lncRNA from 1 species